UACGGAGGGUGCAAGCGUUGUCCGGAAUCACUGGGCGUAAAGGGCGCGUAGGCGGCUCAUGAAGGCUGUGGUGAAAGUCCGGGGCUCAACCUCGGAUCGGCCGUGGCGACUCGUGGGCUGGAGCACUGUAGAGGCAGAUGGAAUUCCGGGUGUAGCGGUGGAAUGCGUAGAUAUCUGGAGGAAUACCGGUGGCGAAGGCGGCAUCCUGGACCAUAACUGACGCUGAGGCGCGAAAGCUAGGGGAGCAAACGGG
rnacentral:rRNA from 1 species